CGAUGACCGUUCCUCCUGUUGCUCAAAGUUCUGGCAAGCAGGAUUUUAGGUCAUCGCAGAUUAUUCUUGGUCCUUUUCACUUGGGGUACUGAGGCAGCGGGGCUGCCUGUCUUUACUUCGAAUUUUGCGGGACCUGACAAAU